AGAUACGGAGCACACAAACCGAUCCAUUGGAACGCAAAAUUAUAACGUGCAGAUUUAUGUAAGAGGGAUGACUGCAAGGGGUUGACAAGGAACGCUGACGUCUUAUGGACUUCAUAGGAGAAGAGGGACAACAAGUAGUCUCAAGUAUUUGAGGAUCUGUGUCUUGAUUAGGAUUCUAUUGUGGUAAGUGCCUCUAUCAAUCACAGGGAGAUCAAGUCCUUGCCUGAAGAUGUGCAUAUAAAGAUACUCCAUACAGUAGCAUGCCUUGAAGGAGCUUGAUGGUAAUUUCAUAGGUGGCAAAUAUAUUAAUGUGAGUUCAGGUAAAAUGGCAUGUUUCUGAAGUCUGAGGUGUUUCAAGAUAAAACCUUCUAUUUAUUUAUUUAUUUUAAUUAUUCCUAUGAUCCUCACAGGAAUAAUUGUGAUGCAAAAACAAAGGACUUAGCUGACUUUUAGAUUUGUGACUUUCUGAACUUUAGAUAUUGUCAUUUAAUAUUUUCAGUAAGGCUGUGUAGGAGUUCUGUGUUAGGUGCUUUCAUCAAAGGAAUGAAAAACUGAAGAUGAAUCCUUGCCACUGGUGCAGUUUAGUUAGGAAUUUACUGAGGAUUUAUCACUUAAUCUAAAGGUCAUAACAUUUUAAAUAACAUGUUUUAAUAUUCAGAAUGGACCCAAUUGCCCUCUAAACAGCUGAUAACCUUGAAAUGCUGUUAGCCACAGAUACCCAUACAUUACCUUCCCUCACUUUCCUUUCAUAGAAAUAAUGAAAUUUGAACUUUACUGCAAAUAUGCUUUUGUCUUUUGUUCAAGAAAAAGAGUUAGAGUUGACUAUAAGCCUGCUCAUGUGUGAUGUUCCUGAGCUCCCUGCUUGAUUUUUUUGUUGAUAUGGAAAACCAAGAAGAUAUGUUUAAAAUACUGCCAGUUGUUUUUACGUGUAGGAGGAAUGCCAUCCAUGAAGGAAUCUGAACUAGGAGGACAAGACAGGAGUUCUUGGUUGCACUCUUUUGCUAACGUCAUUAAGCCAUUACCGUAAGAUUGCAUGAAGAUGCAGCACCCAAGGAAUUUUAGAUAAAAUGUCACAGUUUGACACUGAAUACAGGGCAUAUAUAUACACAUCCAUUCCAUCUCACAGAGCAUCCACUCUGUCUCCAGGCACAGCUGCAGGACUCUUCA